ACGCCGUCGAUCACGCUGUUGGCGAGCCGCGUCAGCGGCAUCGCCAUCGGAUCGAUGUCGUCCUUCUGGGCGUCCCACUCCGCCGCCAUUGCCUCGGCAAGAUCACGCGUCGGCGCUGUCAGCAGAUUGCGUCCCGGCGUACGGAUCGGCUUUCCCUCCCGCGGCCCCCCCAAACNACCCCGAAACCGUCGGGACCUUCGGCAACGCCAGUGCUGGUGUAGAAGCGUUUGCGCAGCGNNNNNAGGCCUCGCGCGGAUCGAGCGGCGACUUGCCGGCAACUUCAUCGAACAGUUCGCGCAUCUAC
rnacentral:misc_RNA from 1 species